UUUGGCUUGUUGUUAUGAAAAGUGUUUGUUUUUGCGAGUUUGAACGUUUUUUAGCAUGUGUAAUGGCAUGAAUGCGUUAAGCUGUUGUUUUAGUGUUCUUAUGAUGAGUUUGGCUUGUUGUUAUGAAUAUUGUUCGUUUUGGCCAGUUUGAAGGUUUUUAGCAUGUGUAAUAGCAUGAAUGUGUUGAAUUUGUGUUAAGCCGUUGUUUUAGUGUUCUUUUGAUGACUUUGGCUUGUUGUUAUGAAAAGUGUUUGUUUUGGCGAGUUUGAACGUUUUUUAGCAUGUGUAAUGGCAUGAAUGCGUUAAAGUUGUUGUUUUAGUGUUCUUUUGAUGAGUUGGGCUUGUUGUUAUGAAAAGUGUUCGUUUUUGAGCAUGUGUAAUGGCAUGAAUGUGUUGAAUUAGUAAUCCCUUGUGUUAAGCUGUUGUUUUAGUGUUCUUUUGAUGAGUUUGGCUUGUUGUUAUGAAAAGUGUUUGUUUUGGCGAGUUUGAAGGUUUUUGAGCAUGUGUAAUGGCAUGAAUGCGUUAAGCUGUUGUUUUAGUGUUCUGUUGAUGAGUUUGGCUUGUUGUUAUGAACAUUGUUCGUUUUGGCCAGUUUGAAGGUUUUUUAGCAUGUAAUGGCAUGAAUGUGUUGAAUUAGUAAUCCCUUGUGUUAAGCCGUUGUUUUAGUGUUCUUUUGAUGACUUUGGCUUGUUGUUAUGAAAAGUGUUUGUUUUGGCGAGUUUGAACGUUUUUUAGCAUGUGUAAUGGCAUGAAUGCGUUAAGCUGUUGUUUUAGUGUUCUUAUGAUGAGUUUGGCUUGUUGUUAUGAACAUUGUUCGUUUUGGCCAGUUUGAAGGUUUUUUAGCAUGUGUAAUGGCAUGAAUGUGUUGAAUUAGUAAUCCCUUGUGUUAAGCUGUUGUUUUAGUGUUCUUUUGAUGAGUUUGGCUUGUUGUUAUGAAAAGUGUUUGUUUUGGCGAGUUUGAAGGUUUUUGAGCAUGUGUAAUGGCAUGAAUGCGUU